rnacentral:tRNA from 1 species
GGGGUUAUAGCUCAGUGGUAGAGCAUUUGACUGCAGAUCAAGAGGUUUUCAAUUCAAACCUGGGUGCCCCCU